UAGGAGUUGGCUUCUCGACGAAUUGUUUUAGAGACAAUCCCAGUAGGGAGUUUAGAAUAUGUGUGCUCCUGGCACAAGCAGCUAUUUUGGAUUUCCAGUUCACAUCAGGAAGAUUAAAGUCACCCAUGAUGAUAAUUUCCCCCUUCAUUGUCAUUGUAGCUAUUUCCUCAACUAGUAGAUUAUCUAACUCUUCUAUUUGUUCUGGGGGGCCUAUAAAUCCCACUACACCAGUUACUGUGUGAUUUCCAAAUUCUAACGUAACCCAAACUGAGUCUAUGUUUGCCUCAUUAACUUUUAGUAGCCUAGAUUUUAUUCUAUCCUUCACAUACAUGGUCUGGGUUCCAUGUCCCCCCAGUUUUAAUCCUGCAAGUAAAAACAUUGUCAUUCUGGUAGUGUAGGGCCCCCUAGCGGGCCUGAAAUGUAAUUAAUAGGUCUUCUAAUGGGACUGAAGUUUAGGCAGGAAAUGUUGCAGCAUGGUGGGCAGGGCCUCCCCUUGCCUUUUAAGAGGUUCCCCGUUUCCUUUCCCUCCUUUUGAUUCCUGCUGGCUCCUGAAGUUCUCUCCUGGUAAAUUCAUCUUGGAAAGGUCUUGUCGCUUGGUAGGCCCCCCACAGAGGUUCAUCCCUACUUCUUCUCGACGCCCUGCAAUGAAAGAACAAGAGAUGAGUAUUGAGGACCUUACAAUGGCCGGACUUAUCGUCUCCAAGAAGAGUGAAAAUACUUGCCAAGGUCAGGGACACAGAAUCAGACACAAAGAUGAGGGAAAGCCAAAAGUCAAGGAUACCAGAUAUCAG